rnacentral:rRNA from 2 species
ACAUGGCGAGACCGCGGACGGCUCAUUAAAUCAGUCGUGGUCCAUAUGGGCUAGAGUUAACCUUACUUGGAUAACUGUGGUAAUUCCAGAGCUAAUACAUGCAACUCUUAUCCUGAUGUGUGUGCUUGUCGUGCACUGACGGAUGCUUUUAUUAGACCAAACCGCUGAGUGCGUUGCUUUGUGUGUGUUGCCUCUCUGAGGUGAUGUGCGCGGGUGAUGUAUGACUCGUUCGAUGGUGACUCUGGAUAACCUUUUUGACAAGCGAACGUACCCCUUUGUUGUGGGACGUCGCUGCCACUUUCGAGUGUCUGACUUAUCAGCUAUCAACCGUUCGUUAUGUGCGACCGAUGGCUUUGACGGGUAACGGGGAAUCAGAGUUCGAUUCCGGAGAGGCAGCCUGAGAGACGGCUACCACGUCCAAGGACGGCAGCAGGCACGCAAAUUACCCAAUCCCAGCAUCUGGGGGAGGUAGUGACGAAAUAUAACGAUGCGGGCGCCCUUUCUGGGGCCCCGCAAUCGGAAUGGGCACUUUCUAAACAACCUGUUGAGAACCUACUGAAGGGCAAGUCUGGUGCCAGCAGCCGCGGUAAUUCCAGCUUCAGCAGCAUCUAUUAAAGUUGCUGCGGUUAAAAGGCUCGCAGUUGAAUGUCAGUAUCGAGCGCAGUUCUGGUGGACGCUGGGGCGUGAGAAUUCUAUGGUUUGGGAGCGCGCACUUGGUUCGUGUGGUGGUGCUGCUCCUCACGGGGUGGUGUUGCUGUGCUGCCAUUUGUGUGUCUCUCUUGUCUCUCACAUGCUCCCGUCCGUAACAAGCCUCCUCGCUUGUGUACAUAUGAGAAUCUGGUUAUAAAGGAGUGUGCCUUGCGUGUGUGGUGUGUGGUUUGGCGGUGUGGGGGUGUCGCUUCGUGCUUCGCUUUCUGUGCUGCUUUUCUUGCGCGCUGUGCGCGUCUGGUGCGUUGUGCUCCAAUGGUUUCUAUAGUCACCCUGAGUAAAUCAGAGUGCUCAAAGCAGUCGUAUGGGCCUUGUGCCCUUUGAACAGUCUUGACGGACUGACUUGGUUUUGCAUGGCAUGUCGGAAGACGACGUCUAUCGCUGGCUCAGAGAGGUAUCAGGCUGGAGGUGCCGUGUGCUCACGCAUGCGUCCCUCCGUUGUGUCUUGUGUAUCGUAUCAGUGGUGUAAGCCAGCAUAGACGUACUGAUUAAAAGGAACAGUCGAGGGCAUUGGUAUUGCGGGGCGAGAGGUGAAAUUCUAUGACCCCCGCAAGACCUCCUGAAGCGAAAGCGUCUGCCAAGGAUGUUUUCAUUAAUCAUGAACGAAAGUUAGAGGAUCGAAGGCGAUCAGAUACCGCCCUAGUUCUAACCCUAAACGAUGCCAACCAUCAAUCCGCGCGUAGCACCCAGUUAUACGGGCUCGGCGGGCAGCUCCUCACUCACGGGAAACCAGAGUCUCUGGGUUCCGGGGGGAGUCUGGUUGCAAAGCUGAAACUUAAAGGAAUUGACGGAAAGGCACCACCAGGCGUGGAGCCUGCGGCUUAAUUUGACUCAACACGGGCCAUCUCACCAGGCCAGCACUCUUGUACGAUUGACAGAUUGAGAGCUCUUUCUCGAUUCAGUGGAUGGUGGUGCAUGGCCGUUCUUAGUUGGUGGAGUGAUCUGUCUGGUUAAUUCCGAUAACGAACGAGACUCUCCCCUGCUAACUAGUCGGUUGGAUCUUGAUUAAUACGUAUGUGUUGGGGGCUAACACCUCCUUCACUGUGUCUAUCGGUGAGUCGUGUCCUGAGAUCACUCGAUGUUGGUGUGCGUUCGGGAUCGUGUACUGCUUGGGGACUCGGGUGUGGGUGUGUGUGCUCGCGUGUUUCUCGCUCUCUUUCGGGGGAGCGUGGGAGUGCGUGGGUGUGUGCGCCUGUGCUUGGGUUUUCCGUUCGUGGUGCGCCCUGUUCGUGUGCUCUUCGAGCCUUGGAUAACACACUCCAAGUCCACCGUCAAAGCUUAAAUUCUUCUUAGAGGGAUUCACGGUUCUGAAGCCGUAAGAAACUGAGAGCAAUAACAGGUCUGUGAUGCCCUUAGAUGUUCUGGGCCGCACGCGCGCUACAAUGCCGGGCACAGCAGGUGUUCUUCCUACUCCGACAGGAGCGGGUAACCCUCUGAAAGCCCUUGAACUUUUGAAUUGUCUUUUGAUAUAUACGCACGUGUGCUCGCUGCACUUGUGUGGUGGGUGCGCGUGUGUUAUUGGCGUGAUUGGGCCUGGGUCUUGCAAUUUUUACCCACAAACGAGGAAUGCCUUGUAGCGGCGGGUCACUGAGCCCGCCGUGACUCAGUCCCUGCCCUUUGUACACACCGCCCGUCGCUACUACCGAUUGGGUGUACCAGUGAAAGUCUUGGACUGGCGUCCUUUGCCCCCUUUUUGUGUGGGCAA